CCUACGGGAGGCAGCAGUGGGGAAUAUUGGACAAUGGGGGAAACCCUGACCCAGCGACGCCGCGUGAGUGAAGAAGUAUUUCGGUACGUAAAGCUCUAUCAGCAGGAAAGAAAAUGACGGUACCUGACUAAGAAGCCCUGGCCAACUACGUGCCAGCAGCCGCGGUCAUACGUAGGGGGCAAGCGUUAUCCGGUUUUACUGGGUGUAAAGGGAGAGGAGACGGUAGCGUAAGUCUGGAGUGAAAUGCCGGGGGCCAACCCCGGAACUGCUCGGGAAAAUGUAAAGCUGGAGUGCAGGAGAGGUAAGCGGAAUUCCUGGUGUAGCGGUGAAAUGCGUAGAUAUCAGGAGGAACACCAGCGGCGAAGGCGGCUUACUGGACUGUAACUGACGUUGAGGCUCGAAGGCGUGGGGAGCAAACAGGAUUAGAUACCCUUGUAGUC
rnacentral:rRNA from 1 species